GGGCCAUUAGCUCAAGUGGUAGAGCAGUGGAUUCUUAAUCCAUUGGCUCCAGGUUCGAGUCCUGGAUGGCCCACCC
rnacentral:tRNA from 1 species